AUCGAACGCUGGCGGCAGGCCUAACACAUGCAAGUCGAGCGAGCGGCGGACGGGUGAGUACUGUCUGGGAAACUGUCUGUCGGCGGGGGAUAACUACUGGAAACGGUAUCUAAUACCGUACACCAUCAGAUGUGCCCAGACGGGAUUAGCUAGUAGGUGGGGUAACGGCUACCCUAGGCGACGAUCCCUAGCUGGUAUGAGAGGUUGAUCAGCCACACUGGAACUGAGACACGGUCCAGACUCCUACGGGAGGCAGCAGUAGGGAAUAUUGGACAAUGGGCGCAAGCCUGAUACAGCCAUGCCGCGUGUGUGAAGAAGGCCUUCGGGUUGUAAAGCACUUUCGGCGGAGAAGCGUUACCCACAGAGAAAGCACCGGCUAACUCCGUGCCAGCAGCCGCGGUAAUUC
rnacentral:rRNA from 1 species